ACCUAAUAGAUACCCUGGUAGUCCACGCCCUAAACGAUGCGAACUGGAUGUUGGGUACAUUACGGUACUCAGCGUCGAAAGCUAAACGCGUUAAGUUCGCCGCCUGGGGAGUACGGUCGCAAGACUGAAACUCAAAGGAAUUGACGGGGGCCCGGCACAAGCGGUGGAGUAUGUGGUUUAAUUACGAUGCAACGCGAAGAACCUUACCUGGCCUUGACAUCUGUCGAAUCCUGCAGAGAUGCGGGAGUGCCGCAAGGAACGACAAGACAGGUGCUGCAUGGCUGUCGUCAGCUCGUGUCGUGAGAUGUUGGGUUAAGUUCCCGCAACGAGCGCAACCCUUGUCCCUAGUUGCCAGCACAUCAUGGUGGGAACUCUAGGGAGACUGCCGGUGACAAACCGGAGGAAGGUGGGGAGUGACGUCAAGUCCUCAUGGCCCGUUACGGCCGAGGGCUACACACGUACUACAAUGGUCGGUACAGAGGGUUGCGAACGCCGCGAGGCGAAGCCAAUCCCAGAAAACCGAUCCCAGUCCGGAUUGGAGU
rnacentral:rRNA from 1 species